GAUGAACGCUGGCGGCGUGCCUAAUACAUGCAAGUCGAGCGAACAGAUAAGGAGCUUGCUCCUUUGACGUUAGCGGCGGACGGGUGAGUAACACGUGGGUAACCUACCUAUAAGACUGGAAUAACUCCUGGAAACCGGGGCUAAUGCCGGAUAACAUUUAGAACCGCAUGGUUCUAAAGUGAAAGAUGGUUUUGCUAUCACUUAUAGAUGGACCCGCGCCGUAUUAGCUAGUUGGUAAGGUAACGGCUUACCAAGGCAACGAUACGUAGCCGACCUGAGAGGGUGAUCGGCCACACUGGAACUGAGACACGGUCCAGACUCCUACGGGAGGCAGCAGUAGGGAAUCUUCCGCAAUGGGCGAAAGCCUGACGGAGCAACGCCGCGUGAGUGAUGAAGGUCUUCGGAUCGUAAAACUCUGUUAUUAGGGAAGAACAAAUGUGUAAGUAACUGUGCACGUCUUGACGGUACCUAAUCAGAAAGCCACGGCUAACUACGUG
rnacentral:rRNA from 1 species